rnacentral:rRNA from 1 species
CAGCAGCCGCGGGAAUACGAAGGGUGCAAGCGUUGAUCGGAAUUACUGGGCGUAAAGCGUGCGUAGGCGGUUUGUUAAGUCUGCUGUGAAAUCCCCGGGCUCAACCUGGGAAUGGCAGUGGAUACUGGCAAGCUAGAGUGUGUCAGAGGAUGGUGGAAUUCCCGGUGUAGCGGUGAAAUGCGUAGAGAUCGGGAGGAACAUCAGUGACGAAGGCGGCCAUCUGGGACAACACUGACGCUGAGGCACGAAAGCGUGGGGAGCAAACAGGAUUAGAGACCCCUGUAGUCCCUGUCUCUUAUAC